ensembl:misc_RNA Y_RNA Y RNA
GGUUGGUCCGAGUGCAGUGGUGUUUACAACUAAUUGAUCACAACCAGUUACAGAUUCCUUUGUUCCUUCUCCACUCCCACUGCUCCACCUGACCAGCCUUUA